AUUAUGAUGAACAAGCUCUUCGUAAAACCUAACCAUUGGAAAGAACCCAAUCUAAUGAUAUUCAUUGGAUUAAUAGAUGAUGAUGAUGAUGACAUACCCCAAAGGAAUAUUCCAUCUGAAAUCUAAAAUUUGCUGGGCAGAUAGGAUACUUAAAAACUUUCUAAAAACACAACAUGGAGGCUUUUGGGACUGAGGCUGCAACUGCCAUGGGCUGAAAGAAGUCUAGAGAGACUUGACUGG